rnacentral:rRNA from 1 species
UACAGAGGUGGCAAGCGUUGUUCGGAAUUACUGGGCGUAAAGGGCGCGUAGGCGGCCUUCUAAGUCAGACGUGAAAUCCCCCGGCUUAACCUGGGAACUGCGUCUGAUACUGGGAGGCUUGAGUAUGGGAGAGGGAUGUAGAAUUCCAGGUGUAGCGGUGAAAUGCGUAGAUAUCUGGAGGAAUACCGGUGGCGAAGGCGGCAUCCUGGACCGGCAUUGACGCUGAGGCGCGAAAGCCAGGGGAGCAAACGGG